GCUUUUAUUAAUUCAUGUAAAUACAAUAAAAUGUGUGAUAAGAAUAAUUGAAAUCUUCUAAUAAUAAACAAAUGGUCUGUAACAUAGCAACGAAAUGGUGUGAAAACGUAUAAGGUGUAAGUGUAUAUGUGGUGUAAGUGUAGACUUAAAAAUGCUACAGUAAAGUCACAGUAACGCCACAGUACUCCCCCCCAAGCGACGACUACGUUGCGAAAUGGACUUUCUUCUUAGCUGGGAACUGCAGGCACAACUGAUGGUACAACUGAUGUGGUUGUAGAUGUAGAUAAAGUUCUCGAAGAGGAUGAAAGAAGAACAGAAGAAUCUUCCUUGGGAAAAAAGGCUGGUUUCAGACGUUCCGUUGAGACGUUGACUAAUUUUCCUGAAAUGUCAAUAGUAAACAAAAAAUCAGAAAUUCGUUUGUUAACAAGAAAAGGACCAGAAUAUGGUGAUUGAAGAGAUUUCUUCACAGCAUCUUCACGAAGCCAUACGAUCUGCUGGAAAAUCUUCCUCAAUAAAGAAUUCACCAGGAAUCCGAAGAGUAGUUCCAUAGAGUAAUUCAGCAGGUGAAGUUUUCAAGUCUUCUUUGAAGCACGAACGAAGACCAAGAAGAACAGUAGCUGGAUGAUAAGCAGAAGUUCUCUUGCGAUCACAUCUAAUCAAAUUAGUUAAUGCUUUAAAGAGAGAUGCUUCAAAUUGUGGGCCUUGAUCUGUAGUAAUAGUUAUAGGAGAUCCAUAUCUAGCUACCCAAUGAGAAUAGAAAGCUGUCGAAACUGUUUCAGCAGUUAUUUCUUUAAGUGGAAUAGCUUCAGGCCACCUCGAGAAACGAUCUAUUAUUGUUAAGCAAUAAUGGAAAUCUUGACAAGAAGGAAGAGGGCCUAUUAAAUCUAAAUGUGCAUGUUGAAAACGCUGAUCAGGAACCGCGAUUUUAACAGGGACAUUUUUUGUAUGUCUUGAAAUUUUGGAACGUUGACAAGGUAGACAAGUGCGAGUCCACUCUUUAACGUCUUUAUUCAAUGACGGCCAAAUAAAUUUCUGUAGAAGUUGUUUAGCUGUAGAUCUUCCACUGGGAUGUGCGAGGCCAUGUACUACAUCAAAAACUCGCUUACGAAGAGAUUUAGGAACGUAUGGACGAAUUAACUCAGAGGAACAGUCACAAUAUAUAGGUACAGAUGAGCCAAGAGACAAUGAUUGGCAUUGAAACUGACUCAAUUCUUGAUAAAGCAUCAGCUACAGAAUUUAACUUGCCUGAAAUGUGGACAAUAUUAGUAGAGAAUUGAGCAAUAAGAUCCAGUUGCCUAAUUUGUCUAGGUGAAGCUUUGUCAGGUUUCUGAAGAAAAGCAUAAAUUAAAGUGAUGCUCCUACAGCGAAAUCAGAAGCAUCACAAGUAAGAAUCAAAGGAACUUGAGGAGCAGGAUGAGAGAGGGUAGUCACACGGAGAAGUUCUUCUUUGCAAUUCUGAAAAGCUGCUUCUGUCUCCAUAGACCAAGGAAUAGUUUUCCUAUCUCUCUUGCGACUGUCCUUCAAAAAGUUUGUUUGAUUCCUUGACUAGAGACAAGAUAUCCGAGGAAAGUAAUUUCUUUUUGAUCAAAAAGACAUUUGGAUACAUUAAGUGACAUUCCAGCUUUCUGUAGACGAUCAAAAACAAUCCGCAAAUGAGUGAUGUGUUCUGACUCAUCUCUAGAAGCUAUGAGAAUAUUGUCAAGAUAGCAAAAUGCAAAAUCUAAAUUAUUUAACAAUAUAUUCAUAAACCUCUGAAAUGUUUGAGCUGCGUUACGAAGACCAAAAGGCAUAACCAAAAAUUCGAAAAGUCCAAAAGAAAAGAUAUUCUUACCGUAGAGCUCCGCAGUGAAAUCCUGUAUGUGAGGCAAUGGAUAUCGAUCAGGAACAGUGACGGAAUUUAACGCACAAUAAUCUCCACAAAGUCUCCAUACAUUUUCCUUUUUUGGAACCAUAUGCAAAGGUGCUGCCCACGUACUGCAUGAUGGUCUACAAAUACCUUGGUCCAUCAUGAAUUUAAAUUCUUCUUUGGCAUACUUCAGUUUUUCCGGAGAAAGUCUUCUGGGAAUUGCAAAUUUCGGAGGACCUUCCGUAACAAACCGAUGUUCAAUUUCAUGUGAGUUUACCGAUGAAAGAAGGGCAAAAUGAGUAAGUCUUUGAAAUUCUGCUAAAAUCUUGUGAAAAGAAGAAUCUGGAGAUGUGGUACAAACUGAUAACUGCAAAACUUCUUGUAUCCUUCCACAAUUUUUAAGACCUGUUAAGGAAUCAAUUAGACGUUUGUUUUUUACAUCUACAAGGAGAUUAAAAUGUCCGAGGAAAUCUGCGCCUAAAAUGGGACGUUGUAUGUCCGCCACGCAAAAUUUCCAACGGAAAAUUCUCCUGAGACCAAGAUCCACGGAAAGAGUUUUAGAUCCAUAAGUAUCAAUGUGUGUUCCGUUGGCAGCAAAAAGUUUUAAAUUGGUUGAUAACGGUUUGUAUAAUAUUUUCUUGGGAAGCAAAGAAAUGUCAGCAUCAGUGUCAACAAGAAAUUGUAAAUUAGACGACUUGUCAAAAAUAACGAGGCGAUGACAAGGUAAACCGUUGUGAGUUGCCUCUAUCUUUAACGGUAUCUCUAGUUUUCCGUUAAAUCAGUAAGACAGAGAGUUUUUGACAUUGUACAAGGAAUUGUACAUUUCUUUGCUUUAUCUCCAAAUUUCUUGUGAUAAAAACAAAUUUGUUCCUUA